rnacentral:rRNA from 11 species
UUUAAUGGUUUAAAAUAGCCUAAAAACACCCGGUCCUGUCUGAUUUUGGAAGCUAAGCAGGGUCAGCCUUCGACUGCAAUUGGAUGGGAAACUACCAAUGAAUCUGAGUGCUGUUGGUU